UGCUAUUUAUAAUAGCAAUGUGCUGGAAGGAACCCAAAUGCCCAGCAAUCCUGUAAUGACUAAGCAAACCCUGAACCGUUACACGCCAGACCACUGCAGAGCCGUUGGAAAAGGCGGGCAUGCGGCUGAUGUCCAUACAUGGAAAGGUACCUUGGAAAGGCAUGUUUUUAAAAGGAGAUCACAAAAUGGACGACGACGACGACGACGACGACGAUGACGACGAUGAUGACGAUGAUGAUAAUAAUACUGUACUUCUCUGUUUAUGUCCUCUGGAAAAAGGAGUUACUGGACCACUUGAUUCACCUCAUCAUCCUUCUUUUAAUUCAAGAAGAUAAUUAUGGCCAAGUGAGGAAGAAGUUUCUGCUUCUGGAGAAAAUAAUUUAAAUCUGGCAAGAACUGAAGGAAUGUGUUUGGGAGGAGCUCUUGAUGUGUUGGACUGAGUGGGUAGAAUAAAUGUCUAAAAAGUGGGGACAAAUCUAUUGAAUUGAAUUGGGGGUAUUAUCCAUGACUUGGUUUUCAGGUCCCAGUAAGGACACCUAGAGCAAGUCCUCAUAUUGCCAGAAGCCUUCUGAAGUUUAGGCGUAACUGUAGAAGUUAAGGUUGAGGUAGAGAUGCUGAAGUUGCCCUCGCAUAAUACUGAGAAAGUGGCUGGAAGGUCAAGGAUGUAGGAAUAUUAGAAUGGACUUAUUAGGAAAAACUAUUUAAUUCUUCACUUGAUUCUGUUAUCUGAGAAGACACAGAGGACACUUCCUUCAUGAAAAUAGAAGGGGCUAUAAUGAUGGUCAGGUGAAGAUAGAGGAUGAAGGCAGUGAAAUUUUUUGAGAAGCUUGGUGGUGAACCUCCUCUGAGAGCUAGAAACUCCCAUGAAAUUGUACUUCACUCUAUUAACAGACAUGAUAGAAUUCUGGAAAGGCAACAGGGAGGUGAAUGUAAAUUCAGUAAUGGUCAAUGAGGUCAGAGUGGUAGGCAGAGUACCUUGACCUACAAGCCAAUAGACCUUGGUGUUCCGAGAGGCCAGCUACAUGUAUAGCUGACCAGAGUGGUCACUUGAGAUGUGAUUAGGUACCAGUGUGGAAAAUCACAGUACCUCACAGUCUAUAGGUCUGAGUUGGUUCAGUCCCAAAGCCCAAUAAUAAAAGAUGGGAGAGGUACUUUGGAGAUAGAUCAUUGCACCAUAACCUCAAGUAUAUACAAUGAAUACUCCCCUGAUCCUUCUCCAAAAGGACCUUUACCAGUGUAGCUGUGCACUGAGGACAGGGAGAUGCCCAGUCUUUUCAAAGACAAUUGGGUAUGGGAAUUGGGUUGAUGCUGACCCCAGGGAAGUCAGCUCCAGCUAGGUAGGGAAGUUAUACAGGUGAUAAAUCUAGUCCUGGCCUCAGACUGACCUGUAAUAUAUCCAGUGUAUUCAGAUACUCACCCUUUGAUUACUUUCCCAGUCCUGAUGAUAUAUUGGAAUGGAUAAUCUCAAGAGCGAGCAGACCCCUCACAUUGAUAGAAGGGCUACAUGGAAGUCUGUGACCUUGUACAAAUCAGAAGCAUCUCAGGAGAAACUUUAAUGGUUAAUGCAAUUAAAGUUGAAGAUUUAAAAGAGGACUGGGAAUAUAGCUCAGUGGUAGAACACUUGCUUAGCAAGCAUAAGGCCCCUGGGUUUGAUCUCCAACA